UACGUAGGGUGCAAGCGUUGUCCGGAAUUAUUGGGCGUAAAGAGCUCGUAGGCGGUCUGUCACGUCGGCUGUGAGAACCCGGGGCUCAACCCCGGGCCUGCAGUCGAUACGGGCAGACUAGAGUGCGGUAGGGGAGACUGGAAUUCCUGGUGUAGCGGUGAAAUGCGCAGAUAUCAGGAGGAACACCGGUGGCGAAGGCGGGUCUCUGGGCCGUAACUGACGCUGAGGAGCGAAAGCGUGGGGAGCGAACAGG
rnacentral:rRNA from 1 species